AUGAGCAGCCCCCGCCGCCGCCGCUCGUCGGCGGCGCCGCUGGACGACGAAGACCUCCUGCCCGAGAUCCUCCUCCGCCUCCCCCCGCUGCCGUCCUCCCUCCCCCGCGCGUCCCUCGCCUGUAAGCUCUGGCGGCGCAUCGUAUCCGACGCCCGAUUUCUCCGCCGCUUCCGCGAGCACCACCGCCGCAACCCUCCCCUCCUCGGUUGCUUCGUCCAAGGUAUCUCCCCCGUCCAUUUCGAACCUACUCUGGAGGCCCCCAAUCGCGUCCCGCAAGCCCGCCUAUCAUUUCCCAUCGACGCUGUCCACACCUAUGUGAUCCUCGGAUGCCGCCAUGGCCUCAUGCUCAUCUUCCUUUGGCGGCGGAACCAGCUCCUGGUAUGGGAUCCCGUCACCGGUGACCGGCACCACCUAGACGUCCCCGCAGGGUUUGACAACGAGGAGACCAGGAUCAAAGGAGCGGUGCUUCGUCCUGCCGGAGUGGUCCACCACUUCCAGGUUGUCUUGGUGGGCAACAGCGACAUACAACUUACGCAGGCUGUGGCCUCGGUGUACUCGUCGGAGACCGGUGCAUGGAGCAAUCUCGUGUCGACGCUGCUUCCAGCCGACAAUCCUGAUGUAGUCACCAGGGUUUACCAUGACAUGUGCUCUGUGAUGAUUGGGAAUUCCCUGUACUGGUUCCUUAUAGGGAAUUUCUGUGGAAUACUUGAAUUUAAUUUGAAUACGCAGAGCCUUAGUGUGAUACAUGCGCCAGUGGACGUCGAUGUCAACACCGGCUCCGUCACGGUUAUGCGGGCGGAGGGUGGUGGCCUUGGUUUCCUCUUCCUGUCGGACUACUGUGUCCAAGUAUGGAAGAGGAAGACGGACUGUGAUGGUGUGGCUUCAUGGGUGCUGGGAAGAACUGUUGCACUAGACAAGCUACUUUCCAUGAAUCCAGAGGAGGGCAGUCAGAGCCCAAGGAUACUCGGGUUUGCUGAGGACAACAAUGUGGUGUUACUGUGGACAUUUAUCGGUGUCUUCAAAGUCCAUUUUGAAUCAUUGCAGUCUAAGAAACUUCUCGAAUCCUACCGCUUUUACCGCUGGUUUCACUAUUAUCCAUUUGAAGCUGUCUAUACUGCAGACGCGGGCAUAAUGUGA
rnacentral:rRNA from 1 species